AUUGAACGCUGGCGGCAUGCUUUACACAUGCAAGUCGAACGGUAACAGGCCGCAAGGUGCUGACGAGUGGCGAACGGGUGAGUAAUGCAUCGGAACGUGCCCAGUCGUGGGGGAUAACGCAGCGAAAGCUGCGCUAAUACCGCAUACGAUCUAUGGAUGAAAGCGGGGGACCGUAAGGCCUCGCGCGAUUGGAGCGGCCGAUGUCAGAUUAGGUAGUUGGUGGGGUAAAGGCUCACCAAGCCAACGAUCUGUAGCUGGUCUGGGAGGACGACCAGCCGCACUGGGACUGAGACACGGCCCAGACUCCUACGGGAGGCAGCAGUGGGGAACUUUGGACAAUGGGCGCAAGCCUGAUCCAGCAAUGCCGCGUGCAGGAAGAAGGCCUUCGGGUUGUAAACUGCUUUUGUACGGAACGAAACGGUCCUGGUUAAUACCCGGGGCUAAUGACGGUACCGUAAGAAUAAGCACCGGCUAACUACGUGCCAGCCGCCGCGGUAAUAC
rnacentral:rRNA from 1 species